GUGGGGAUGAAUGGGGAUGAAUGGGGGCAGGUGGAGAUGAAUGGGGGCAGAUGAGGGCAUAUGGGGACACAGCGAUGAAGGGGGGCAGGUGGGGACAGAUGGGGGCAGGUGGGGGCAGGUGGAGAUGAAUGGGGAUGGAUGGGGGCAGAUGGGGGCAGGUGGGGAUAGAUGAGGAUGGAUGAAUGGGGAUGGAUGGGGAGAAAUGGGUAUGAAUAGGGGCAGGUGGAGAUGAAUGGGGGCAGAUGGGGAUGAAUGGGGGCAGACGGGGGCAAGUGGAGAUGAAUGGGGGCAGAUGGGGACAGAUGGGGGCAGGUGGGGAUGAAUGGGGAUGAAUGGAGGCAGGUGGGGAUCAAUGAGGAUGGAUGAAUGGGGAUGGAUGGGGAUGAAUGGGGGCAGGUGGGGAUGAAUGGGGAUGGAUGGGGGCAGGUGGGGAUGAAUGGGGAUGAAUGGAGAUAAAUAGGGGCAGAUGAGGGCAUAUGGGGACAUGGGGAUGGAUGGGGGCGUAUGUGGACAGGUGGGAGCAGGAGGGCAUGAAUGGGGAUGAAUGGGGACAGAUGGGGACGUAUGGGGUCAGAGAAGGAUGUAUGGGAGCAUAUGGGGAUAUAUGGGGCCAGAUGGGGAUGUAUGGGGUCAGAUAAAGGCGUAUGGGGACGUAUGGACACAGGUGGGGACAGAAAAGGAUAUAUGGGGAUGGGGGGGGACAGAUGGGAGCAUAUAGGGACAGGUGGGGACAGGAGGGCAUGAAUGGGGAUGAAUGGGGACAGAUGGGAACGUAUGGGGUCAGAGGGAGAUGUAUGGGAACGUACGGUGAUGUAUGGGGUCAGACGGGGAUGAAUGGGGCCACAGGCAGUUGGGGAGGUGGGGGGGACACCAAUGGGACGUAUAGGAACGCGUGGGGACGUGGAUGGGCCAUAUGGGGUCCCCCGCACUCACCUGGGGGUCUCCGGGUUCCCACGUGGGGUCUUCGGGUUCCUCCUUCAGCCCCGGUGACACCUUUGGGGGGGGGGGGGGGGGGGACACAACACGGCGGUGAUGUGGGGGUCCCAAACCCCACAGUGCCCCAUUGAGAGCCCACAGUCCCCCAUGGGAUCUCCAGGGUCCCCAAUAGGGCCAUCCCCCUCCCCAGCGGUGGCCCCAAAUGCCCCCCCAUGACUCCAUAUCCCCAGCGAUGACCCCGGGUGUUCCCAUAUCCCCCCGUGACCCAUAGCCCCCCAUACCCACCCACGUCCCCAUAGCCCCC
rnacentral:lncRNA from 1 species